rnacentral:rRNA from 1 species
GCAAACUUGGCACAAUGAAUCCUGUACAAGGCUUGACUUUUCUCUAGUGUUAUUCUAUCCUAAAAGCUAAUCCCAAACACAAAGAGGCAAAGCCACCGCCGGCUCCCAGCCACACGUGAUUCCUCUUCCCACCUUUCCCUUUCCUUGGUCCCCUGUGGUCCAGCCUUUGCUCUGCUCAUCCAUGGAGACAAACCACUAGCCCCCAAAUCUCCUAAAUCUUUCUAGUUGCUCUCUCCUGAGCUGCUGCAGCGCCGCCGGCCGGCUGGACGGCCAACGGCUCAUCUUUCUUCAAGCUGCUGCAAGCACACAAGAAGAGGGUAAUCAGUUGUCUCCAUGGCCAAAAAUAAAAGAAAGCAUGCAACACUGCAUUCUUUUUUUGAGAAGAAAAGAAGAACUGAUGUUCCAGAACAAAUUAUUUUGGUUGAUGCCCCUCCCUUGGUAGAUGAAGAAGAACAAGUGGAUGAACAAGAACAAAUAGAAGAAACUCCAAUAUCAACAACACCACCUCAGGUUAUGAGAGGGAGGGGCAAUGAUGAUUCUGCUAUUUUGGUGGUAGAAAGAAAACCAGGUCUGCGGUGCCAAAUUUCAGAUUAUCCUCCUAACGAUCAAGAAAAAGCUCGAAUGGCAUAUAUAAAGCAUGGGGCAUAUCAUUUUAAAAUGGAUGAGUAUCCUCCCGAUGAGUCGGUGACCCAUCCACGCAAGUUUCAAUAUCAUUGGUUUAAGAGCUUCCCUUGGUUAGAAUAUUCACCGGAUAAAGAUGCAGUCUACUGUUUUUGGUACUUAAAAGCAUUGCAACUGCUAAAGGAUCUGGUACUUCACCUUCCGCACGAGCAAAGGCUUCUGGUGCUGUUAAGUUGAUGAUGUCUUUUGACUUCAUAUUUAUUCUGCAUGUCAUGAAAGAACUUAUGGGAAUCACGGACAUGCUAUGCAAAAAGUUGCAACAAAAGUCUCAAGAUAUUGUGAAUGCCAUGGAUGAUGUUAAGACUACCAAAAUGUUGAUCCAGGAGCUAAGAGAUAAUGGUUGGAACAAGCUUAAAGCUGACGUGCUUUCAUUCUGUACCAAACAUGGAGUUCAAACACCACAUUUCAGUGAGUUAUAUGUGGAUUUCAUUAAUUCUCGUGCGGAGGAUGAGACUACAGUUGAGCACCAUUAUCGCUGUGACAUUUUCAUGGUUGCUGUUGAUCAGCAAGCACAAGAGCUGAAUUGUAGAUUCAACAAACAAGCUACAGAGCUUCUCAUCCUGUGUACUUCCUUGGACCCAAAAGAUUCAUUCCGUUCAUUUAACAUUGAUAAUAUAUGUUCUCUAGCUUCAAAGUUCUAUCCUGCUGAUUUUAAAGAACAAGAAAUGAAUAAUCUAAGAUGUCAGUUACGACAUUACGAGAAUGUUGUACCCACAAGCCCAAAGUUUCAGAAUUUGACAACUAUAUCAGAACUUUGUCAACGACUUGCAUCUAGUGGAAAAUCAGAUGAAUAUUACUUGAUUGACAGACUCAUUCGGCUUGUUCUUACUUUACCGGUUUCAACGGCAACUACAGAACGUGCAUUUUCUGCCAUGAAACUUGUGAAGACAAGGCUUCGGAAUAAAAUGGAAGAUGGAUUUCUAAGGGACUGCUUGCUAAUUUAUAUUGAAAAGGAGAUUGCUGUUGGAAUAUCAACAGAUGCAAUUAUAGAUGAGUUCGAUGAACCACCACGUCGAGUGCCAUUUAGUUGAAGGCUUGGAGCAAGUUAGUUUCUCUAUCUUCUAUUAUCUAGAUUUUUCUUUUGUGUGAUGUACCAUUGAAAAAUUGCAUAUCCUUUUGUAUCAACGGUGAAUGGUGGUGUAAUCAAUGAAAAAUAUCAUGCUAUUACAUCUGCCUCACUGUUUUUUUGUUUAAAAAUUUGUACGAAAGUGUUGCUGCCUUCAGUCGGCCCGUGUUAUACAUUUUUCC